rfam:Glycine soja cultivar W05 scaffold2749_4, whole genome shotgun sequence.
CUAACAGAGUUUAUUGGCAUUCUGUCCACCUCCACUUCCUACUCUCUCUCUCUCUCUCUCUACCCAUGAAUAUGGAGGUGGGCAUACUGUCAACUGAGCUCUGUUGG